UACGAAGGGGGCUAGCGUUGCUCGGAAUCACUGGGCGUAAAGCGCACGUAGGCGGAUUGCUAAGUCAGGGGUGAAAUCCUGGAGCUCAACUCCAGAACUGCCCUUGAUACUGGCGGUCUCGAGUCCGGGAGAGGUGAGUGGAACUGCGAGUGUAGAGGUGAAAUUCGUAGAUAUUCGCAAGAACACCAGUGGCGAAGGCGGCUCACUGGCCCGGUACUGACGCUGAGGUGCGAAAAGCGUGGGGAGCAAACAGG
rnacentral:rRNA from 1 species